CCUAUGACGCCUUUUAAAGGAUAAAAAAAAAAAAAAAGCAACCUUUAACGGAGUACUCUGACUCUAAAUAAAAUAUUAAAAGAUGCAAGCAGGUAAGAAAUACGGUUGGGUUGCCUUACAGAGCUCUGUAACCCGUCUUUUGCCACAAUAAUGAAUCCAAUUAUAUAAAUCAUCUAGAAGAUUUUAUUGUAGAGCCGAGAAUGUGACACAACUCAAUGGCCACAACCACACCACGCAGGGAAUAUAGCCCAUGGUAUCUGGGGGUUGUAACGAGGUUGUAUGGUGACAGAUCAUAGCUAUGCUUGUGGUGGGCAGGACGUAAGGUAUAGGGGAGGUCAAUCACCGUGUUGCACACCUGAAACUAAUGUGACAUUGUGUGUCAACUAUACUGAAGUUUUUUUAAUAAAAAAAAUGGACACUACGUAAGUUUGAAAAUACGUUCACCUUUAUGAAAUUUUCUAAAUUAUCUGUAGUACACAUUCUGUACUAAGUUUUUAAUAGGGUCAGAAGAGAGACAUUCAGAAAUUUGUUCGGGAACCAUCAAAAAACCAAAGAAUGUUAGAAAAAUACAAAUUAUUUGUAAAGUGCCAAAGUUUCAUAUUUUAACAAACUGAAAAAGGUAAACAAAAAAUAAUACAACCUCAGAAAAUAUGUGUGGUUGAUUAGGAGAACUGCAGAAAGACAAUCAUAGAUUGUUUGGUUAUAUUAGAAAGCAGAUGAUGGAAGACAGCCCUGGUUUGGAUGGGACAGAGCAGCACAGAGACGUUAGCUCCUUCCUUAAUAAUUUUAACUCUGGCUCUUACUGAAAGACAGUCAUGAGGAUACCCCAGUCUGUGAAACUGACUCUUAUAAGUCAAUGCAGAUAGCACAUGUCGCCUUGAGCAUUACAACGGGUCAGGUCAGACAGACGUGGCUUUGGAUCCCAGCUCAAUGAUCGCUCCACUCUGAGACAGCCAUGUCCCGGGCAAACUGAAACGCUUGCCAUCACGUUACCAAGCACAAGCGGAGAGACAAAACUGGUUGAGCAAAUGCUGUGUGAAGACUGAAGCAGAACUGUCUGGACUUUUCUGAAGAUGGAAGCAUAGUCUUAAAACUAUCUUGCCUGUAACAGUUGACAAGAAAGUAGGAUCUUAGCGUAAAGUCCAGGCCCCUGGAACUGAGACACCCAUGGACGUGAUGGCUUGGACUAGAGACAGCGUUAACAGUCCCGGCAUAUAGGAUGGCUCCACCGUCUUCAACAUGGGGCGUCCAUCUCUGGGUCUCGAGUGGCCACUCCCUGCCACCAGCAGGACAGAGGAGGAGAGUACCCAGCUCUAGAAUGGGCAGCCGUCCCUUCUGCCCCUUGGGCCACACCAGGCAGCAAAGUGAGCCUAAAAUGUAUCCUUGCACAGGGCGAUAUAUACCCAGCUUCGAUGCUAUUACUGCAUGCAAAGGUAGCAAUUACAGAUCGUCAGGAACCCAAUCAGCCUUACACUCUUUGGAUUUUUUACUCUUAAACCAAAAUUUCUGUGAAUCCUGAGAGACAUUCACAGCUCUAAAACGUGGUAGGUUUCACAAGAAACGGCUGGAAGACUUUUGUCAACGUGAGCUACCUGGAAACAAUUGCGGUUCUAUCUUCAGCAGUAAAAAGGCAGUGCAAAAGAUAGCAUAGGACAUUGUGUGUGCGGCCACAGCCACGUUGAGUCUAUGCAGAUCUGCUCACACAGCGACGCAGAGAGCUUGCAAUCUGCACGUUCACAAUAUACAACUAUGGGAAAGUGCUUCACAAUGGUGUGUGCUCAUAGAUAGCAGUAAGAAAGUGAUAGAAAAAAAUAUAUGUAAUUGUCUUCAACUUCAGGUAUUUGUGUAAUUUUUAAUACAAAGCUCUCUAAGUAUUACAUAGGCAUUUUGAGUAUCUGUUUCUUUAAGGCACAAAACAAUGGUCACAGUACAUUUCAAGAGGGGUGCAACGUUUCACUCAUGCUUUAGUCCCAAAAUAAAAAUCAAAACAAUA